rnacentral:rRNA from 1 species
GCUCAGAUUGAACGCUGGCGGCAGGCCUAACACAUGCAAGUCGAACGGUAACAGGAAGCAGCUUGCUGCUUUGCUGACGAGUGGCGGACGGGUGAGUAAUGUCUGGGAAACUGCCCGAUGGAGGGGGAUAACUACUGGAAACGGUAGCUAAUACCGCAUAACGUCGCAAGACCAAAGAGGGGGACCUUAGGGCCUCUUGCCAUCGGAUGUGCCCAGAUGGGAUUAGCUAGUAGGUGGGGUAAUGGCUCACCUAGGCGACGAUCCCUAGCUGGUCUGAGAGGAUGACCAGCCACACUGGAACUGAGACACGGUCCAGACUCCUACGGGAGGCAGCAGUGGGGAAUAUUGCACAAUGGGCGCAAGCCUGAUGCAGCCAUGCCGCGUGUAUGAAGAAGGCCUUCGGGUUGUAAAGUACUUUCAGCGGGGAGGAAGGGAGUAAAGUUAAUACCUUUGCUCAUUGACGUUACCCGCAGAAGAAGCACCGGCUAACUCCGUGCCAGCAGCCGCGGUAAUACGGAGGGUGCAAGCGUUAAUCGGAAUUACUGGGCGUAAAGCGCACGCAGGCGGUUUGUUAAGUCAGAUGUGAAAUCCCCGGGCUCAACCUGGGAACUGCAUCUGAUACUGGCAAGCUUGAGUCUCGUAGAGGGGGGUAGAAUUCCAGGUGUAGCGGUGAAAUGCGUAGAGAUCUGGAGGAAUACCGGUGGCGAAGGCGGCCCCCUGGACGAAGACUGACGCUCAGGUGCGAAAGCGUGGGGAGCAAACAGGAUUAGAUACCCUGGUAGUCCACGCCGUAAACGAUGUCGACUUGGAGGUUGUGCCCUUGAGGCGUGGCUUUUCGGAGCUAACGCGUUAAGUCGACCGCCUGGGGAGUACGGCCGCAAGGUUAAAACUCAAAUGAAUUGACGGGGGCCCGCACAAGCGGUGGAGCAUGUGGUUUAAUUCGAUGCAACGCGAAGAACCUUACCUGGUCUUGACAUCCACGGAAGUUUUCAGAGAUGAGAAUGUGCCUUCGGGAACCGUGAGACAGGUGCUGCAUGGCUGUCGUCAGCUCGUGUUGUGAAAUGUUGGGUUAAGUCCCGCAACGAGCGCAACCCUUAUCCUUUGUUGCCAGCGGUCCGGCCGGGAACUCAAAGGAGACUGCCAGUGAUAAACUGGAGGAAGGUGGGGAUGACGUCAAGUCAUCAUGGCCCUUACGACCAGGGCUACACACGUGCUACAAUGGCGCAUACAAAGAGAAGCGACCUCGCGAGAGCAAGCGGACCUCAUAAAGUGCGUCGUAGUCCGGAUUGGAGUCUGCAACUCGACUCCAUGAAGUCGGAAUCGCUAGUAAUCGUGGAUCAGAAUGCCACGGUGAAUACGUUCCCGGGCCUUGUACACACCGCCCGUCACACCAUGGGAGUGGGUUGCAAAAGAAGUAGGUAGCUUAACCUUCGGGAGGGCGCUUACCACUUUGUGAUU